rnacentral:ncRNA from 1 species
ACUUAGAAGUUCAUCUGUUUUGUACACAGGCAGCAAGGAUUGGACACGGAUGUCUAAUCCAGUGACAAUCGAGCCCGGAUGGCUCGUUGGCACGUUUGCGUCACACAUCAAUACCUUUUCCAAAACAGACGCAACUUCUUAGUUCCGGA